AAUGAAGUGCCUGAGAAAAGGGUUAUCGUGAUAGGAUAAAUAAUGUAUUGAAGAUACCCUCAUUA
rnacentral:tRNA from 1 species